UACGGGGGGGGUAAGCGUUGUUCGGAAUUACUGGGCGUAAAGGGCGCGUAGGCGGCCUGCUAAGUCGAACGUGAAAUCCCUGGGCUCAACCCAGGAACUGCGUCCGAUACUGGUUGGCUUGAAUCCGGGAGAGGGAUGUGGAAUUCCAGGUGUAGCGGUGAAAUGCGUAGAGAUCAUGAGGAAGACCAGUGGCGAAGGCGGGUCUCUGGACAGUUCCUGACACUGAGACACGAAGGCCAGGGGAGCAAACGGG
rnacentral:rRNA from 1 species